AGAGAUGAGGAAAUGAAAUGAUGGAUAAUUAUAUUAAUAAACUGGAAAAUAAAAGGUACAAAUUAAAAGGAGAAGGAAAACAAAAUGAAAGUGAAUAAAAUGAUAGAAAAGAGAAGAAAAUAAGAGAAAAGAAAAGAAAUGAUCAGCUAAGAGAAAAGACAUCUAGAGAAAAGGAAAGAAAACGAGAGAAAAGAUAAGAAAAAUAAUAAAAGAAGAAAAAAGAAAAUAAAAGAAAAUGAAGAGAGAAGGGAAAAGAAAAUGAGAGAAAAGAGAAGAAAAUAGAGAAAAAAAAAAAGAAAAAAAUUUAAUAGAAAUAGGCUUUCUACAUAUG
rnacentral:misc_RNA from 1 species